rnacentral:rRNA from 1 species
GAAAGUAAGUAAGGGCGUAUGGGGGAUGCCUAGGCUCUUGGAGGCUAAGAAGGACGUGGUAAGCUGCGAAAAGCUGCGGGGAUUUGCAAACGAGACUCGAUCCGCAGAUAUCCGAAUGGGACAACCCGGCAGGUAGAAGACCUGUCACACCGCGAGGUGAGCUAACCCUCUGAACUGAAACAUCUAAGUAGGAGGAGGAAAAGAAAGAAACAUCGAUUUCCAAAGUAGCGGCGAGCGAAAUGGAAGAAGCCCAAACCGAUAUUGUUACGGCAAUAUCGGGGUUGUAGGACUGCAAUAUUCAAUUAACAAUGAACUGGAAUGGUCUGGAAAGUCCAUCCAUAGAGAGUGAAAGGCUCGUACAGGUAAGUUUGUUAUGCGAAAGCAGUAUCCUGAGUAUGGCGGGACACGAGGAAUCCUGUCAGAAUCAGCCGGGACCACCCGGUAAGGCUAAAUACUCCCAAGAGACCGAUAGUGGACCAGUACUGUGAAGGAAAGGUGAAAAGAACCCCGAACAGGGGAGUGAAAUAGAACCUGAAACCAUACGCUUACAACCGGUCGGAGCAGCUUCGUGCUGUGACGGCGUGCCUAUUGAAUAAUGAGCCUACGAGUUACUAAUCACUAGCGAGGUUAAGUGCAAGGAUGCACGGAGCCGAAGCGAAAGCGAGUCUGAACAGGGCGUUUAGUUAGUGGUUGUAGACGCGAAACCUUGCGAUCUACCCUUGAGCAGGUUGAAGGUUGGGUAAAACCAACUGGAGGACCGAACGAAUAAGCGUUGAAAAGCUUCUCGAUGACUUGAGGGUAGGGGUGAAAGGCUAAUCAAGCUGGGAAAUAGCUCGUACUCCCCGAAAUGCCUUUUGGGGCAGCGUUGUAAUAAAGAGUCUACUGGAGGUAGAGCUACUGAUUGGAUGCGGGGGCUUCACCGCCUACCAAAUCCUGACAAACUCCGAAUGCCAGUAGUAUGAUUUACAGCAGUGAGUGACUGGGUGCUAAUGUCCAGUCGCAAAAGAGGAACAACUCAGACCAGCAACUAAGGUCCCGAAGAAUAUGCUAAGUUGAUCUAACGAUGUUUUGUUGCAGAGACAGCUAGGAUGUUAGCUUGGAAGCAGCUAUUCAUUCAAAGAGUGCGUAACAGCUCACUAGUCGAGCGACAGAGCGUGGAUAAUAAACGGGCAUCAAGCAUAUCACCGAAGUUCUGGGCGCGAGAGCGCGGUAGGGGAGCAUUCCAUUCAGCGUCGAAGCAGUUUCGUGAGGAAUUGUGGAGCGUAUGGAAAAGCAAAUGUAGGCAUGAGUAACGAUAAUGCGGGAGAGUAACCCGCACACCGCAAGACCAAGGUUUCCUGAUCAACGCUAAUCGGAUCAGGGUUAGUCGGGUCCUAAGGGUAAGCCGAACGGCGAUCUCGAUGGAUAAUCGGUUAAUAUUCCGAUACUAACAUAUACCUCGAUGGAGAGACGAAGGAACGUAAGUGCCGCCACCUGACGGAAUAGGUGGUUAAAGGGCGUAGGUAUAGGGGCAGAUUAAGAGUUAGUCCUUGCUGAAACCUGACAGUACAGAGAGCCUACGGGCAAUUUGAUAGAGCACCCAAGUCGACUUCCGAGAAAAUCUUCUAAGUUAUAGUAUAUGUUACCCGUACCGUAAACCGACACAGGUGGUCGAGGAGAGUAUCCUAAGGUGCUCGAGUGAAUCACGGUUAAGGAACUAGGCAAAUUAACCCCGUAACUUCGGGAAAAGGGGUCCCUAUGAAAGUAGGGCGCAGCGAAGAGGUCCAGGCGACUGUUUAUCAAAAACACAGGGCUCUGCAAAUUCGAAAGAAGACGUAUAGGGCCUGACACCUGCCCGGUGCUGGAAGGUUAAGAGGGGAUGUCAUCGCAAGAGAAGCAUUGAAUCGAAGCCCCAGUAAACGGCGGCCGUAACUAUAACGGUCCUAAGGUAGCGAAAUUCCUUGUCGGGUAAGUUCCGACCUGCACGAAUGGUGUAACGAUCUGGACACUGUCUCAACCGUGAGCUCGGUGAAAUUGUAGUCCCGGUGAUGAUGCCGGGUACCCGCAACGGGACGAAAAGACCCCGUGAACCUUUACUAUAGCUUAACGCUGAAUUUGGGUACACAAUGUGUAGGAUAGGCCGGAGGCUUUGAAGCGGGCACGCCAGUGUUCGUGGAGCCGACGUUGAAAUACGGCCCUUUGUGUA